rnacentral:rRNA from 1 species
AUGGGUUCUCCGAGAAAAUCCGACAAGAAGGCCGCCUUAGACUUUGCAGCAUGGGGUUUCAAUAUCACCUCAUCCGUUGGGAUCAUCAUGGUCAACAAAGCCUUAAUGGCUACACAUGGAUUCAGUUUUGCCACAACAUUAACUGGCCUUCAUUUAUUGACAACGACCUUGAUGACUAUUGUGUUUCGGUGGUUAGGCCUGAGCCAGCCCUCUCACUUACCGCUACCAGAUCUGAUUAAGUUUGUAAUCUUUUCAAAUUUGUCGAUCGUUGGCAUGAAUGUGAGCUUGAUGUGGAAUUCUGUGGGGUUUUAUCAGAUAGCAAAGCUGUGCAUGAUACCCGCAUCAUGUCUUCUGGAGGUUGUCUUUGAUCGUGUACAUUAUUCACGGGACACAAAGCUGAGCAUAAUGGUUGUGCUUGUAGGCGUUGCAGUUUGCACUGUUACUGAUGUCAGUGUGAAUGCAAAAGGCAUGCUUGCAGCUGUUAUAGCUGUUUGGAGCACAGCUUUCCAGCAAUAUUAUGUUCAUUAUCUCCAACGGAAGUACUCUCUGAACUCAUUCAAUCUCCUAAGCCACACUGCUCCAGCCCAAGCAGGUUCCCUCCUGUUAGUAGGGCCCUUUGUGGAUUUCUUGUUGACUGGCAAAAGGGUGGAUCACUUCAAUUUCACAUCACUUUCUUUGUUAUUCGUCGUACUCUCAUGCAUCAUCGCUAUCGGCGUUAAUCUGAGCCAGUUCAUCUGCAUCGGCCGGUUCUCCGCUGUGUCUUUCCAAGUCUUAGGCCACAUGAAGACUGUGCUGGUCCUGUUCCUUGGCUUUCUCUUCUUUGGCAAGGAGGGCCUGAACCUUCAUGUAGUCCUUGGGAUGAUCCUCGCUGUUCUUGGAAUGAUGUGGUAUGGGAACGCAUCAGCGAAACCAGGCGGCAAAGAGCGUCGGAGUGUCCUCCCAGUGAGGUCCGACAGGCACAAUGGAGGUUCAGAAGACAAGGAUGGCGGUGAUAAGUGA